UAACUAAUGGAGCUAAAACUGAUGUUGUGGAUAAAUAUGGUGAAACAUUACUACAUUGUGCUGCUGAAUCUGGUAAGAUUGAAAUGCUUAAGUUUUGGAUAAAAAGAGGAGAUUAUGAUGUUAACGUUUUAGAUAAAAAAAAAAGAACUCCAUUGUUUAAUGCUGUUAAGGAAGGU